rnacentral:rRNA from 1 species
AGCGAACGCUGGCGGCAGGCCUAACACAUGCAAGUCGAACGAACUCUUCGGAGUUAGUGGCGGACGGGUGAGUAACACGUGGGAACGUGCCUUUCGGUUCGGAAUAACUCAGGGAAACUUGUGCUAAUACCGAAUGUGCCCUUCGGGGGAAAGAUUUAUCGCCUUAAGAGCGGCCCGCGUCUGAUUAGCUAGUUGGUGAGGUAAAGGCUCACCAAGGCGACGAUCAGUAGCUGGUCUGAGAGGAUGAUCAGCCACAUUGGGACUGAGAAACGGCCCAAACUCCUACGGGAGGCAGCAGUGGUGAAUCUUGCGCAAUGGGCGAAAGCCUGACGCAGCCAUGCCGCGUGAAUGAUGAAGGUCUUAGGAUUGUAAAAUUCUUUCACCGGGGACGAUAAUGACGGUACCCGGAGAAGAAGCCCCGGCUAACUUCGUGCCAGCCGCCGCCGUAA